rnacentral:rRNA from 1 species
UUCCUACGGGAGGCAGCAGUGAGGAAUAUUGGUCAAUGGCCGAAGGGCUGAACCAGCCAAGCCGCGUGAAGGAAUAAGGCCCUACGGGUCGUAAACUUCUUUAGUCAGGGAACAAAGGGUGCCACGUGUGGCGCUGUGAGUGUACCUGAAGAAUAAGCAUCGGCUAACUCCGUGCCAGCAGCCGCGGUAAUACGGAGGAUGCGAGCGUUAUCCGGAUUUAUUGGGUUUAAAGGGUGCGCAGGCGGAUUAUCAAGUCAGCGGUAAAAAUUCUGGGCUCAACCCGGUCCCGCCGUUGAAACUGGCGU